AUUGCUUCUCUGCCUUUUGGCUAAGAUCAAGUGUAGUAUUUGUUCUUAUCAGGAAUGUUAUGUAUUAAUAACUCAUGGUCAACUGAAUACCAGCCGUAUUAAAUCAGACUGGUGUUGAGUGUAGAU
ensembl:snRNA U2 U2 spliceosomal RNA